UUGGGUAAAAAAACAAAUUUACUUGCAAGCAGGCAGGACUGCCAGAAACUGGUCUGGUCAGAGUCUGUACCCUGUGUUCUUUGUCCAUCACUUUUUAUACUUUUGUCAGUCAUUAUCUCACCCCUAGUGGUCUUUGUUAUGUAAAUAAAGUUCCAAUUCCUGUUUAAUGGUUAGACACAGGUGGUUUCUGUCACUGGUUACAGUCCUGAACACUUGACAUUUAAAGCACAUACAUCACAAGUUUGUUCAAGGAUUCCCACUUUGUUCUUCAGAGCUAGGAUGUUAUCUAUAGUGGAGCUACAGAUCAAAGGAGCUAUAUAACCUUCACUUUAAACAACAAAAACAAUGGGCUAAGGGAAGCUUUUAAAAGGGUACACUACCUAUUUUGCUUCCACAACUACUUCAAUAGCAAAUCUGCUAACCUUACUUUAAAAUUUUUCCCUAUCAACAUGAAGAGUUCAUAGGAGUUUUCCAAGAGGAAAGGAGUAGAAAGACAUCUCUGCAGAGACAACACUAGGCAUAUGCUGGCUAUCAGUGGUUUGUCAUCCCUACCAUUUUUUUCUACUUGAAAGCAGAGAUUUGUCCCUACAUUUGCAUCUCCAUUACCUAGCAAAGACAUAUAGUACAUGCUCAGCUAGUGUUUGGGAGGUGAGUGAAUGAGCCAUGAAUUCAGAGAAUGUUAAUUUGACUGUUGUUUGGGGUUCUGGGUUCUAAGCAGUGCUAAAGAACUCACAUGAGAAAAAUGUAAUCAGAAAUAAUGGGUCUCUCUUAGCCACUAUUGCUAUUUAACAAACUAUACCAUGAGCUAGAAGCUUAAAGCGACAGUGAUUUACUAUUUUGUGGCAUCCUGCGAAUCAGUUGGGUAGUUCUUCUGUUAUUUGCCCCUGGAAUCACUUGUGCACCUGCCUUCAGCUGGGAAGGUGACUUGGACCCGUGUUCCCUUGGGACAGUGGGGACAGCUGAGCCCUGUUUUAUGUGGUCUUCCAUCCCCAAUGAGGAUAGAGUGAGCAUACACACAUUGUGGUACUCAUACCCUAAGAGACAAAGCUCUAGAGUGUACUAAUUAUGCUCUUCUGUUUGUAUCUCCUUUUCUGAUGUCUCAGUGGGCAAAGAUACUUGCACAGCGAAGUCUAGAAGCAACACUGAAGCGCAUAAUAUGUGGGCAGGUGUAUCUGAAGGUCUGAUUCACCAAGGCCAUUAAUGUCACUGUCCAUCACAGGGAAACUCAUAAUCAGGUUGCCAUCAAAUGCAUACAUGUGGCACGGCCAGGUAGCAAAACAGAGCAGAGCCAUCCUUCAAGGAC
rnacentral:lncRNA from 1 species